rnacentral:rRNA from 1 species
AGCCGCGGUAAUACGUACGCCGCGAGCGUUGCUCGGAAUUACUGGGCGUAAAGAGUGCGUAGGCGGUGCUCUAAGUCCGGUGUGAAAUCUCCGGGCUCAACUCGGAGGGUGCGCCGGAAACUGGAGUGCUUGAGUGUGGGAGAGGAGAGUGGAAUUCCUGGUGUAGCGGUGAAAUGCGUAGAUAUCAGGAGGAACACCUGUGGUGAAAGCGGCUUUCUGGACCAUUACUGACGCUGAGACACGAAAGCGUGGGGAGCAAACAGGAUUAGAUACCCUGGUAGUCCACGCCCUAAACGAUGCAUACUUGGUGUCGGCCGUUCAGUUGGUCGGUGCCGGAGCUAACGCGUUAAAUAU